CGCGGAAUGGAGCAGUGGUAGCUCGUCGGGCUCAUAACCCGAAGGUCGUUGGUUCGAGUCCGGCUUCCGCAACCA
rnacentral:tRNA from 1 species